rnacentral:lncRNA from 1 species
CUCCCUCAUUACAGCUCACUCCCUCGGCCCAGAGAGAACAGAGCUGAUUGUUUUCCUUCUCGGUUUCCUAGAGACAACAGAUCCACUGAUUAGCUUUCUCCAUCAAGCAUUCAAAAAGGCCAAGCUACACACCGUAACAUUAACCUUGAACUUGGAACUCUUAAGAAAGUGCCCAGUUUUAUUUGGGGAAAAGAUCUCUGCCAGCAAAGCCGAUCCUUAAUUUGGGAAAUGAAGAGGUUCACCUGUCUGAGGAGAGAUGAUGAGAUGGCUCUGGGAUGGGCCUCUCUGGCCAUUUCAAGGAGCAAGCGGUUCAGGGUUUGACCAGCUGUGACUCUCCACUGUAUCCAGAGUUCCCGCUGCUGGCAUGGAAACCUGACAUUGACCUCACUUCUUGU